ACGAGCAUAUAUUGUUCGAAGAGAAAUUUCUACCAUUAUAUACUCAACCUUGUCCUCGGAUUACUACUUGGGGAGAUGAUGAAGUACUUGACAUGAAACAAAAAUUGAAAAACCUCGGUGAAUAUGCAAAUGACAAUGUCAAAAUAUGGGUGAUACAAAAUGAGAUAAGGGAUUGCAUUGAUGGAAAUGCGAUGACAAUGGAGAGGGAGAAUGAGGAGGAUGAGAAAUUCGAAAUCAAUCCAAAGAAAGAUGUUAUUAAACGAGUAGGUUUUACAAUAUUCAUCGUGAGUAUCAAUAUUAGUAGUGAACCCUUAUAUUAUGAUGUUAUUAAUGAAGUUCCUAUAUAUCACUAGGUUGACAGUGGGAGCUUAAUGGAGAUGGAUAAAACCUUUCAACAAUUAAAGACACAUCUAAUUGAUUUGUGUCAUGGUGCAAGUAGUAGUAGUUGUGAAAAAGUUUUGACUGAAUUUGAGGAGAAAUAUACUACAUUGAAAGGUCUCUUCAUUGGGUCAAGCGGAAAACCUUUGAGAAUGCACGAGGAGGGAACGAAGAAUGACAUUUUCUCAUGCGAGAGAAGUUUGGAAGAUAAGGACAAUAAGAAAGGAAAUGAACAUUAUGUUCACACUUUGUCAAUUGAGAAGUUAUGUACUGAGGACUUUAAUAGAAAGAAUGAAGAUGCAUGUGCUACAUCAAUUAAAGUACAUAUCAUUCCGGACGAAAAUGUAGAUAUUUUACCACUUCCAAUCAAAAGGAGUAGAAGAGAUUAUGGAAAGGAACCAUUACGAGCACUAUGUGGUUAUCCCAAUCAUGUCAUGAAAACACGUACAUCAAGGGAGAGGAAACCAAGUAAAUUCAAGGUCUCCCCAUUUGUACACAAUUUAAGGAAAAUGGGAAAACGUCAAGCAUCAGAGGUAUAAUACAAAUAGUUUAAUAUCAUGAUCUUAUUUUUUAUACUCAACAUAUAUAGCUAAUAAUUAUGUCUUGUUUUCAAUUUAGUCAAUCCCCAUGUCCAUUUGUGAAGACGUGGUGGAUGCUCAAUCAUUCAAUGUACUUCAAUCUCUUGUUGCUGAUUAUGUUUUCAAUAAAACAUUGUCAAAAAGGUUUGUAGUGUCUAGAACAUUCAUAGAUGUGUUGUUACAAUUUUAGCCUUCAUAUGCUUCCAAUUUAGUCAAGAAUGUUUUAACAUAUUAUUAUUUUAGUGAGCUUCUUGUUGACUUUGAUCAUGAACAUGGAGUUCGUGGAGAUUUUGAGUGCUUAUGUCCUAGAGAAAAUUUGAUGGAUGUUGUAAGUACCUACUUCAUUUAUACUAAACGCGUGCUAAAUUAAUUAAAUAAAUUUAUUGAAGUUAUUGUUUAACAACAAGUAAUAAAUCUAGAAGCCUCAAAGCUAAAUUAUUUUGAAAGGCAAUUCAUAAGCAUACGAAGUAUAAGAUGCUAUCUUCCCAUGACAUUUUCAAUAAGCUCAUAUUUCUCUUGUUGUUUACUUACGUAUUAAGUACAAUAUACUAAUGUUCGUAUUAUGUUUAAUUACUAGCAAAUGA